rnacentral:rRNA from 1 species
UGUUUCGGCAAGGGGGUCAUCCCGACUUACCAACCCGAUGCAAACUGCGAAUACCGGAGAAUGUUAUCACGGGAGACACACGGCGGGUGCUAACGUCCGUCGUGAAGAGGGAAACAACCCAGACCGCCAGCUAAGGUCCCAAAGUCAUGGUUAAGUGGGAAACGAUGUGGGAAGGCCCAGACAGCCAGGAUGUUGGCUUAGAAGCAGCCAUCAUUUAAAGAAAGCGUAAUAGCUCACUGGUCGAGUCGGCCUGCGCGGAAGAUGUAACGGGGCUAAACCAUGCACCGAAGCUGCGGCAGCGACACUAUGUGUUGUUGGGUAGGGGAGCGUUCUGUAAGCCUGUGAAGGUGUACUGUGAGGUAUGCUGGAGGUAUCAGAAGUGCGAAUGCUGACAUAAGUAACGAUAAAGCGGGUGAAAAGCCCGCUCGCCGGAAGACCAAGGGUUCCUGUCCAACGUUAAUCGGGGCAGGGUGAGUCGACCCCUAAGGCGAGGCCGAAAGGCGUAGUCGAUGGGAAACAGGUUAAUAUU